ACAUGUAUACAACUUAGUGUUAAUGCAUCGUAUCCAAUUAGAACUCUGUAGUUAAGCGCACUCGAGCUAGAGUAGUACUGGGAUGGGUGACCGUUCGAGAAGUCCUAGUAUUUUGCAUGCC
rnacentral:rRNA from 1 species